ACGCUCGACACCUACGGGGGCAGCAGUAGGGAAUCUUCCACAAUGGACGCAAGUCUGAUGGAGCAACGCCGCGUGAGUGAAGAAGGUCUUCGGGUCGUAAAACUCUGUUGUUAGAGAAGAACACGAGUGAGAGUAACUGUUCAUUCGAUGACGGUAUCUAACCAGCAAGUCACGGCUAACUACGUGCCAACAGCCGCGGUAAUCUGAGCGGGCUGGCAAGGC
rnacentral:rRNA from 1 species